UACGGGGGGAGCAAGCGUUGUUCGGAUUUACUGGGCGUAAAGGGCGCGUAGGCGGUCGUGACAAGUCACUUGUGAAAUCUCCGGGCUUAACUCGGAACGGUCAAGUGAUACUGUCGGACUAGAGUACAGAAGGGCAACUGGAAUUCUCGGUGUAGCGGUGAAAUGCGUAGAUAUCGAGAGGAACACCUGCGGCGAAGGCGGGUUGCUGGGCUGAUACUGACGCUGAGGCGCGAAAGCCAGGGAGCGAACGGG
rnacentral:rRNA from 1 species